rnacentral:lncRNA from 1 species
ACUUCAUUGAUAUAAUCCUUAGUUUUACCUGUAAUUUUUAACAGUCUUACUUUUUUUCUGGAUGAUUGAGUUCGCGCCAUUUUAGCUUUCCACGUGUAAUUGAUGUUUUAUCUUGUGUAUCUGUACUUUAAAAACAAAAUUUAAUUUUUUGUUUCACUAACGUUCAAAAACCUACCAUUGGUAAGAAAAACACAAAAAAGUUUGAAAAAAUUGCAUGGGGCGUCAACCUGGCCUCCCCGAAAAUGACCGUCAGAAGGCUAUUGCAAUGGUUGAUGCCAGAAUGAGUGUUUCUGAUGUCGUGGCUUGAUUAAAUGUACAUAAGUCAACAGUUUAGUGACUAACAAACAGAUAUCGACAAAUUGCAACUGCACGGGAUAGGUCGAUAUUUCGUAGACCAAGAAAAACUAUCGUCAAGGGAGGAGCGCCACUUUCGCUUUUCAUCAACACGUGCUAAGUUUUUUUCCGGCCACAAGAGUAGUGCAUUGACUAAGGGCAGCUGCUGGUGUGCCUGCCAUUCCUUCAUUGAUGCACUUAGGACAUGGCCGAGAAAUUUAUUUUGAAUAACACUAUACUCAUUUCCGCAUUUUGACCCUCCCGCGCUCCAUACAAAGAAAAUCCUAAUGAAUGUGAGUGAUAAACAUUCAUGAUGCUUCUGACAUGUCAUAAUUUCAUUUUUUU